rnacentral:tRNA from 1 species
GUAAAUGUAGCUCAGUAGGUAGAGCAUUGGACUGAAAAUCCUUGUGUCAUAGGUUCGACCCCUAUCAUUUACA